CCAGUCCUGAUGUGAAACCCCCGGCUCACCCGUGGAGGGUCAUCGGAAACUGGAAAACUUGAGUGCAGAAGAGGAAAGUGGAAUUCCAUGUGUAGCGGUGAAAUGCGCAGAGAUAUGGAGGAACACCAGUGGCGAAGGCGACUUUCUGGUCUGUAACUGACGCUGAUGUGCGAAAGCGUGGGGAUCAAACAGGAUUAGAU
rnacentral:rRNA from 1 species